rnacentral:rRNA from 1 species
AACGAACGCUGGCGGCAUGCCUAACACAUGCAAGUCGAACGAGACCUUCGGGUCUAGUGGCGCACGGGUGCGUAACGCGUGGGAACCUGCCCUUAGGUUCGGAAUAACUCCCCGAAAGGGGUGCUAAUACCGGAUAAUGUCUUCGGACCAAAGAUUUAUCGCCUUUGGAUGGGCCCGCGUUGGAUUAGCUAGUUGGUAGGGUAAAAGCCUACCAAGGCGACGAUCCAUAGCUGGUCUGAGAGGACGAUCAGCCACACUGGGACUGAGACACGGCCCAGACUCCUACGGAAGGCAGCAGUGGGGAAUAUUGGACAAUGGGCGAAAGCCUGAUCCAGCAAUGCCGCGUGAGUGAUGAAGGCCUUAGGGUUGUAAAGCUCUUUUACCCGGGAUGAUAAUGACAGUACCGGGAGAAUAAGCUCCGGCUAACUCCGUG